AACGAACGCUGGCGGCGUGGAUAAGACAUGCAAGUCGAACGGAGUAUUCUGGUAGCAAUAUCAGGAUGCUUAGUGGCAAACGGGUGCGUAACACGUGGAUUACAUUCCAGAAAGCGCGGGAUAGCCCAGGGAAACUUGGAUUAAUACCGCAUGUGGUCGCAAGACUAAAGGCGCAAGCCGCUUUCUGAUUGGUCCGCGGCCUAUCAGCUAGUUGGUGAGGAAAAGCUCACCAAAGGCUACGACGGGUAGCUGGUCUGAGAGGACGACCAGCCACACUGGAACUGAGACACGGUCAGACACCUAGGGUGGCAGCAGUCGAGAAUCUUUCACAAUGGGGGCAACCCUGAUGGAGCGACGCCGCGUGGAGGAUAAAGGUCUUCGGAUU
rnacentral:rRNA from 1 species